GAUGAACGCUGGCGGCGUGCCUAAUACAUGCAAGUCGAACGCUGGAGAUCUAGCUUUCUAGCUCGAAGGAGUGGCGAACGGGUGAGUAAUACAUAAGCAACCUACCCACGAAGACUGGGGUUAUCUCUGGAAAAGGGGACUAAUACCGGAUAGGUAAUCGGAAGGCAUCUUCUGGUUAUUAAAGGUUAAAAACACUGGUGGAUGGGCUUAUGGCGGAUUAGUUAGUUGGUGAGGUAACGGCCCACCAAGACGAUGAUGCGGAGCCGGCCUGAGAGGGUGAACGGCCACAUUGGGACUGCGGCACGGCCCCGACUCCUACGGGAGGCAGCAGUAGGGAAUUGUCGGCAAUGGGGGCAACCCUGACCGAGCAGCGCCGCGUGAGAGAAGACGGCCUUCGGGUUGUAAAGCUCUGUUGUAAGGGAAGAACGGUAGAUAGAGAAUAUCUAAGUGACGGUACCUUACCAGAAAGCCACGGCUAACUACGUG
rnacentral:rRNA from 1 species